GUAUCAAAGCUCCCCAUCAGAGUGCUUUGUGUUUGUAGACUGAGAGGGGGAAAGGAGAGAGCAGCAAGCAGCUCAGGGAAAGUAAAACCGGCAGGACUCGCACAGAGCUCUGGAUCUCCGGCGAGGAGCAAGUUUGAUAUAUUACUGGAAGAGGUUUUGGCAAACACAGAUAUAGUCACAUACGGGAAUGUUGUGCGACCAAUAAGCAUCCAGCAGGUUUAUUUGGAAGGCUGACUCAGGCAGACUGCGCAUGGCUACGGCCAAUAUGGAAACAUUACGGAGGGAAUUAACGAACAAAAUGUUGGCACGUCAGGUUUCUAGCACGCCACCAAUGCAGCAGCUUGGAGAUUUAGGAACACAAUUCUCACACAGGAAGCACAUGCCAUAACUUUACGACAGCGAGCCCGACAGUAAACAAACCGGCCCUCCAGCGGAUGUGAACAGAAACGACAGGAGCCAAUGGGAGGCUAAGAUCAUCGCUGUGACAUUCUGAAAGGGCUGAAAACUGAGCACCAUGGUCCCGCCCACCAUUGACUUUGUUCUGUGGCUUGCUGGUGGAGGAGGAGGUCACAGACAUGGAAGCAGACCAACUUCAGAUGGGAAGAAUGGGUUUGAUUCUUUAUCACCUGGACCUCAAAGUGUCGUCCGUAGACAAUUAGGUUUGAUAAAUGUUUAAAUUUGUUCACAACCUAUGAUCUACAGUUUCACUUUCAAAUGUUGACAUGUAGUGGGAGCAAAAACAGAACACGUUUGGUUUACAGUACAUUCACAUUCAGAUACACUUGUAUCAGACUUUGUAAAUGUUAUUCCAUGUGCUUUGGUGCAUUUAAUCAUAGUCUUUGCCAAUAUGAUCAAAUUAUAUUAACUUAAUUACUAUUUAUAAUAGAAGGCUGCUGAAAUUAGUAAGACGAACAGUUAAAAGAUGUCUUCGUGACUUAUAAAGAUACUUUAUUCUAAAAUGUUUCUUCUCGGUACACUGUUAUCGAACCAACAGGAAGAACUCAGGGACUGAAAUAGCUGAUUAACAUUUUUGCUGCUGCUUGGCAGACAGUAAAAUGCAUUGUUGUACUGGGCUCUGUUUCUUUUUAAUUUACUCAUACACUAAUACAACUUAUUUUUAAAUUAACAUAAUCAAUGCACUAUUGCAGUCCUCUUAUUUUGAAUGUAAUUUUGGAGCCAUCUUGCAUUAAAAGUCUCUUUGGUGUUUAGUCAAGUUAUACUACCUAAGCUCCUAAAAAGUUUGGACACUGUGUAAAAUGUUAAUAAAAACAGUGUUUGAUGGUUUACACAUGAUUUAGACCCUGUAUGUUAUUCCAAAUAGGGGAAAAAAACACAUCAAAUGUUGAAACUGAAAAAUAGAUAUGUUAUGAUCUCAUAGCCUGUGUUUUUUGUUGAAUGAUGCGGCAAAUGCAUUCAAUAGGUGACAAGUUGGGAGUGCAAGCAGGCCAGUUUAGCACCCGAACUCUUCUACUACAAAGCCAUGCAGUUGUAGUAUGUUCAAACCGUGGUUUGGCAUUGUCUUACUGAAACAUGCAAGGCCUUACCUGGGUAUUGUCUGGAUGGCAGCAUGUGUUGCUCUUAAACUUGUAUUAAUUGUUAAGUGUUGAUAGUGCCUUCCCAGGUGUGCAACCUACCCAUGCCAUGGGCACUUAUGCAUCCCCAUACCAUCAUGGAUGCUGGCUUUGAACUAUGUGCUGAUAACAAGCCAGGUGGUGCCACUCCUCUUUAGAGCGGAGGACAUAGUGUUCAUGAUUUCCAAAAAGAAUGUCAAAUUUUGAUCCGUCAAACAACAGAACAUUUUUCCUCUUCUCCUCAGUCCAUCUUAAACAGGCUCUGACCCCAAAAUUAGUAACUGGGGUUUCUGGAUCAAGUUUAUAUUUUUUCCUCUCUGCAUGGUACAUUAUAAACCAAGCUGCAACCUUCGGCCAUUAGAAAUGAAGCCUAUGUGGUAGUACUAAAAACUGCAGUUUCUUGAGUGUCCGCUCGAGGCCGGGGAAGUACCGGAAACCACAAAUUUUUAAAAAGACAUUUUACUACAGUUUACAGCCUGAUUCAAAAAAUGAGGCUAAAGGACCGCCUCAACUGUUUGCUUCUGUGCCUGUAGUUUGGUCAACUGGAAGAUAGGUUGAGUCAGCUUUUCCAACAACGACAUCCACUGACGAUAGGCUUCAAAACUCCACUCCCGAAACCAAUGGUUGACGUCUUGAAGGCGGAAUGCAUCAGAGGGCCUGAAGAUCACUGCCAUCCAGGUUGGUUUUCAGCCUCGUCCUUUUGCACUAAGAUUUCUCAGAUUCUCUGAAUCUCUCAAUGGUAUUUUUUUUUUAGAUCCUUUGAAAUUUAGUACUGAGUAACAUUAUUCUGAAAAUGUUAAAAAUAUUUGCUCAUGCAGUCUCUCACAAAGGAAAAAACACCUUCCCAUCUUUAGUUCUGACAGACUCAGCCUCCCCGGAGUUCCCUUUUUAUACCCGUCAUGUUACUGACCUGUUGCAAAGUAGCCUAUUUAGUUUAGUUAGGGAGAUGUUUCUUACAGGUGUUAUUUUUUGCAUUGUUUACAUUUUUCAGUGUUAUGUUGUCAUGUCCAAACUGAAACAUGUUGCUGGCAUUACAUUUAAAAUGAGCCUACAUUUUCCUUAAAACAACAUUUUUCAGUCUUGUCAUUUGAUAUGAUGUAUUUUCACGUUUUUUUUUAAUAUAGGAUUUAAAUGAAGUGCAAACCAUUGCAAUCUACCGUUAUCAACACUUUACACUGUCUGAACUUUUGGGGUAUUUGGGGUUGUGUAUAUCUUAUUGUACCGUAUUGUCUUAUUAUAAAUGCAACAGACAGAAAACAAAAGAAUUUGGGGAGGGGAUUGAAAGCUAUGAGGUAAAUUGGGCAGUUGUAAAUGUUCUCCCCUUCAACUCAGGACAAAGGAAGCACUUCCCCAUAAAAUUCAAACUGCUAGUAAUAAAAGUAUAACGACUUACAUGUAAAAGUGUCAUUUAAAGGGCUUCCCAAAUUGUUAUGGUACGCUGUAUGGUAUGCCUAUCUGUGUGAAGGGUCACAUUAGAGGCUUUUUACUCUUUGAAACAAACUUGUGAAGGUUCUGUGGAAAAUAAAUAAAGUAAGUUCACCUCUAAACACUA